rnacentral:rRNA from 1 species
UACGUAGGGUGCGAGCGUUGUCCGGAAUUAUUGGGCGUAAAGAGCUUGUAGGCGGUUUGUCGCGUCUGCCGUGAAAAUCCGGGGCUCAACCCCGGACUUGCGGUGGGUACGGGCAGACUAGAGUGUGGUAGGGGAGACUGGAAUUCCUGGUGUAGCGGUGAAAUGCGCAGAUAUCAGGAGGAACACCGAUGGCGAAGGCGGGUUGCUAGGCUGACACUGACGCUGAUGCGCGAAAGCCAGGGGAGCAAACGGG